UCUGGGGCCAGGCUGGGACAGGAGGGUGACAUCUCAGAAGGGCCCCUCCAGAGCUGGUUCCUGCCAUGCGCCUCCUGUGCACUGUGGUCCUGGCUAUCCUGGGGGCAGGGCACACGGAUGCUGGCAUCACGCAGACCCCAAGACACAAGAUCACAAGGACAGGAGGGAACUUGACCCUGCAAUGCACCCAGGACAUGAACCACAACUUCAUGUACUGGUACCGACAAGACCCGGGACUGGGCCUGCGGCUGAUCCACUACUCUAAUGGUGUUCCUGAUACCUACAAGGGCGAUGUCCCUGAGGGGUACAAUGUCUCCAGGUCAAACACGAAGGACUUCCCCCUCAUGGUGGGGUCGGCUGCCCCCUCGCAGACAUCUGUGUACUUCUGUGCCAGCAGUGUCUCCACAGCGCUGCACAGCCACCUCAGCCCCUCACAAAAAGGGUUCAGGAAACCCAUGCAGCCCGCUCAGCCUGGGGACCUUGGAGCUGGGGUGGCAGGCGCAGGGGCUUCUGUUGCUGCUGAGGUCUAG